GCGACAGGCUUAACACAUGCAAGUCGAGGGGCAGCACAGGUAGCAAUACCGGGUGGCGACCGGCGCACGGGUGAGUAACGCGUAUGCAACUUACCUAUCAGAGGGGGAUAACCCGGCGAAAGUCGGACUAAUACCGCAUGAAGCAGGGGCCCCGCAUGGGGAUAUUUGCUAAAGAUUCAUCGCUGAUAGAUAGGCAUGCGUUCCAUUAGGCAGUUGGCGGGGUAACGGCCCACCAAACCGACGAUGGAUAGGGGUUCUGAGAGGAAGGUCCCCCACAUUGGUACUGAGACACGGACCAAACUCCUACGGGAGGCAGCAGUGAGGAAUAUUGGUCAAUGGCCGAGAGGCUGAACCAGCCAAGUCGCGUGAGGGAUGAAGGUUCUAUGGAUCGUAAACCUCUUUUAUAAGGGAAUAAAGUGCGGGACGUGUCCCGUUUUGUAUGUACCUUAUGAAUAAGGAUCGGCUAACUCCGUGCCAGCAGCCGCGGUAAUACGGAGGAUCCGAGCGUUAUCCGGAUUUAUUGGGUUUAAAGGGUGCGUAGGCGGCCUUUUAAGUCAGCGGUGAAAGUCUGUGGCUCAACCAUAAAGUUGCCGUUGAAACUGGGGGGCUUGAGUAUGUUUGAGGCAGGCGGAAUGCGUGGUGUAGCGGUGAAAUGCAUAGAUAUCACGCAGAACCCCGAUUGCGAAGGCAGCCUGCCAAGCCAUUACUGACGCUGAUGCACGAAAGCGUGGGGAUCAAACAGGAUUAGAUACCCUGGUAGUCCACGCAGUAAACGAUGAUCACUAGCUGUUUGCGAUACACUGUAAGCGGCACAGCGAAAGCGUUAAGUGAUCCACCUGGGGAGUACGCCGGCAACGGUGAAACUCAAAGGAAUUGACGGGGGCCCGCACAAGCGGAGGAACAUGUGGUUUAAUUCGAUGAUACGCGAGGAACCUUACCCGGGUUUGAACGCAUUCGGACCGAGGUGGAAACACCUUUUCUAGCAAUAGCCGUUUGCGAGGUGCUGCAUGGUUGUCGUCAGCUCGUGCCGUGAGGUGUCGGCUUAAGUGCCAUAACGAGCGCAACCCUUGCCACUAGUUACUAACAGGUAAAGCUGAGGACUCUGGUGGGACUGCCAGCGUAAGCUGCGAGGAAGGCGGGGAUGACGUCAAAUCAGCACGGCCCUUACAUCCGGGGCGACACACGUGUUACAAUGGCGUGGACAAAGGGAAGCCACCUGGCGACAGGGAGCGAAUCCCCAAACCACGUCUCAGUUCGGAUCGGAGUCUGCAACCCGACUCCGUGAAGCUGGAUUCGCCAGUAAUCGCGCAUCAGCCAUGGCGCGGUGAAUACGUUCCCGGGCCUUGUACACACCGCCCGUCAAGCCAUGGGAGCCGGGGGUACCUGAAGUCCGUAACCGCGAGGAUCGGCCUAGGGUAAAACUGGUGACUGGGGCUAAG
rnacentral:rRNA from 1 species